UCAGGUAUUCUGGUACCUGCCCACAGCAGGGAGAACAACAGACCACAUGUCCAGUCCUUGCCCAGCCCAGAUUAUGCUAUAAAGACGUUUUUUGAAAGAGAAAGAAAGAGGUGACAUUCUGUGGAGGGAUCUUAAGGGACCAGGCCUAAUCACAUCGGGGACUCGAGGCCUCCCUUCCAGGCUUGGCAGGCAGAGUAUCUCAAGAUGAAGAGAAAGACAUUUUCCCUUGCAUGCUGGCCGCUGUUUCAUCUUCUACUACUCUUAGGAAACGCUGUAACUUCUAAUGCUAACACUACAGCCACCACCCUUGGACAAACCACAUCACCCAGGGGAACUAACACAACAGCUAUAACCUCCAGUGGGAACAUCACGACCACCUCCCUCGGACCAACCACACCAUCCAGGGGAACUAACACAACAGCUAUAACCUCCAGUGGGAACAUCACGACCACCUCCCUCGGACCAACCACACCGUCCAGGGAAACUAACACAACGGCUAUAACCUCCAGUGACACCAGCACAAGUACUGCCCCUCCAAGGAAAGAGGAGAACCUUAGCGGACAACUGACACCAUGGGAAGUUGUUCUGGUCACUCUGGCCUCGGUUGCAAUGGCUGUGAUUCUCGUCACCGGGCUUCUCUUCCAUUUCAGAAACUCUCCAGGCCUCAGAAACCUCUUCGAUGUUAAUCUCUUACCAACUGCAUGGCCAAGCCCCUACGGGACCAGGGCAACUGCAACUGACUUCAGAGGAGACCCUUCUCCCGUAGUCAUGGAGCUGACUGGGAGGCGGGAAUAGCACUGAGCUCCCUGAAGGCAGACGCAUCACCAAUGUGUGGGGGUAGGGGGCUGACCUGGGGGAGCCUGAGUAUUCCUCCUGUCCGAAGGACUGUCCCUCCCAGCUCCAUUUCAGCCUCUGACUGUCCUCCUUCCCACUUGGUUUUUCCAGACCAAAACAAGGAGGCUGUAGCUGUGAACGAAUUAUUAAAUAAACAAUUCUGAUAUAUGUGGAACCAG